UCCUCCUAAAACCCUAAACCCCAAAUUCAAGAACUCACAUUAUAAUCAAAAUGCACAUUUUCCUUUCGAUUUCAUCAAAAUUAUUACAGUCAAAAUCCACAUCCUUCAAGUCCCUCACAUGGAUUCCUACAGUUUUCUUACUAUCCCCAAAGCAAAUGUCACAGUCAACUUCCAUACCCAGAAACCAACAGCGUAUUCGUGACCACGGCUACGAUGAUUACAUGGAAGUGGAGAAGAAAAUCCGUAAAGUAAUGAAAUUCCAAGAACUGCUUCUUACUCAACCAAAUUCAAUGAUCGCCAUUUCUCGCCUUGAUAUGCUUGCUCGCCGUUUUGGGUUCAAACAAUAUGAAGCAGGGAAGUUUAUUCUCAAAUUCCCUCAUGUUUUCGAGGUAUUCGAACACCCAGUUCAGAGAAUAUUAUAUUGCAGGCUUACUCGUAAAUCACUGCUUCAAAUUGAGCAAGAAAAACUAGCCCUUUUAGCUCAAUUGCCUCAAGCUGUAACCCGUUUACGAAAGCUUCUGUUGCUUUCGAAUACGGGGAGAUUAAGGUUAGAACAUGUUAGGAUUGCAAGGAAAGAUUUUGGUUUACCUGAUGAUUUUGAGUUUUCUGUGGUUUUGAAGUAUCCCAAGUAUUUUAGAUUGUUUGAUGCUAAAGAGACUAGGAAUAAGUAUAUUGAGGUUGUUGAAAGAGACCCGCGAUUAACUGUUUGUGCUGUGGAGAAUGUUAGGGAGAGAGAGUAUAGAGAAAAGGGUGGCGAAGAAGAGAAUGUGCGGUUUUCGUUUAGAGUAAAUUUCCCCCCUGGUUUCAAGAUUGGGAAGUAUUAUAAGAUUGCUGUUUGGAAGUGGCAAAGGUUGCCUUAUUGGUUGCCGUAUGAGGAUAUCUCUGGUUAUGAUUUAAGGUCACUCGAGGCACAGAAGAGAAUGGAAAAGAGAGCAGUUGCGACUAUUCAUGAAUUGUUGUCAUUGACAGUUGAAAAGAAGAUUACUUUGGAGAGAAUUGCGCAUUUUAGGUUGGCUAUGGAUUUGCCAAAGAAGCUGAAAGACUUUCUUCUUCAGCAUCAGGGGAUAUUUUAUAUUUCGACGAGGGGAAAUCAAGGGAAAUUGCAUACGGUGUUUCUCAGGGAGGCUUAUAGGAAGGGAGAGUUGAUUGAGCCUAAUGAGUUAUAUUUAGCUAGGAGAAGGCUGGCUGAAUUGGUUUUGCUGAGUCCAAGGAAAGUCAUUGUGGAUAGAAGAUUGAUUAAUUAUGGAAAACAGGGAGGCGAUGAUGAAAUAGCUGACUACGUUGAGAAUGGAGGAGAUCAUUCAGCCGCCCGAGAGACGGUUAGAGAAGAUUUGGGAGAAGAAAGCCUGGACUCUGAUGAUGAUUGCAGUAUUGACUCUGAUGGUGAUUGCAGUAUUGACACUGAUGGUGAUUGCAGUAUUGACACUGAGUACACACACAAGGAAGCCAAUAAUGAUGAUGUUACUGAUGAUGCAGAGGACACUCGUGUCACUGAUGUAUAGGCAUAAGGCCUUUGGCCUUUUGCUGCUGAAUUAUUUGCUUAGCCUCUUAGACUCUUAGUUGCUGGCCUGCUGUGUAGGCUGCUGAUACAUGUUUGCGUCGAUCAUGCAAAAUUGCAAGCCAUGUGAUAAAAAAACAGCUAUUGCCUUGGUGCAUAUGAUAUUAGGCCCAUACCAAAGAACCGAACCGAAUUAGAAAAGAUGGAAACAAACCGAGCACCGAUGUAAGCUUUUACCCCUGGCUACUUGAGAGCUGGUCAAGUUCUUCUUCCUCUUAGAUGC